CUUCUGCAGCUAAAGGACUUCCAGCGCCGCCUCGCUGGCAAUGCUGCACGGGCAUCGGGCUCAGUUGGUGUUCCGGUUUCGGGUUGUGCUGUCAGUUGCCUUUUUGCACAGCGGCUGAGCGAUUGAGCGAUUGAACGAUUGAACGGUUGGACGGCUGAGCGCUGGAGCGGUUGAGAGUGUGCCAUCGGAGCCGGAGAGUCCUAACGCGCUGCCCGUGGUCUGUGUCCGCAUCCGUAUCCGUAUCUCGUAUCUCCGUGCGUCUCUCUCCGGGUGUGUGCGUGUGGUUGUGCGUGUGUUUAAGUGUGUGCCUGUUGUCUGUCGCUAACGGUGCGCGCGCGUCUGUUUGUGUGAGUGUGUGACUCUGUGCGUGCCCCUGCCAGUGUGUGUGUGUGUGCGUGUGUGUGUGUGCACAACAAUACUAUAUAUCUUAUAUACUAAUACCAGUGUGUGCCCACACUCGCACACGGCCUGCAAAUAAAAUAUUAGAAACAGAUAUAUACAACAAUUCCAGCAGCCGUCGACACGCAUGACACAUGCAAUGGAUGCCAGAACUAAUAGUGGAUAUCGGAAUAAA
rnacentral:sRNA from 1 species